AUGUUUAAGCUUGUUUUAGAAAAGGAAGAGGAACCAGAGAUCAAAUUGCCAACAUCCGUUGGAUCAUUGAAAAAGCAAGAGAGUUCCAGAAAAACAUCUAUUUCUGCUUCAUUGACUAUGCCAAAGCCUUUGACUGUGUGGAAAAUUCUGAAAGAGACGGGCAUACCAAACCACCUGACCUGCCUCUUGAGAAACCUGUAUGCUGGUCAGGAACAAACAGUUAGAACUGGACAUGGAACAACAGACUGGUUCCAAAUAGGAAAAGGAGUACGUCAAGGCUGUAUACUGCCACCCUGCUUAUUUAACUUAUAUGCAGAGUACAUCACAAGAAACGCUGGGCUGGAGGAAGCACAAGCUGGAAUCAAGAUUGCCGGGAGAAAUAUCAAUAGCCUCAGAUAUGCAGAUGACACCACCCUUAUGGCAGAAAACGAAGAAGAACUAAAGAGCCUCUUGAUGAAAGUGAAAGAGGAGAGUGAAAAAGUUGGCUUAAAGCUCAGCAUUCAGAAAACGAAGAUCAUGGCAUCUGGUCCCAUCACUUCAUGGCAAAUAGAUGGGGAAACAGCAGAAACAGUGUCAGACUUUAUUUUGGGGGGCUCCAAAAUUACUGCAGAUGGUGACUGCGGCCAUGAAAUUAAAAGAUGCUUACUCCUGAGAAGAAAAGUUAUGAUCAAUCUAGACAUUAUAUUAAAAAGCAGAGACAUUACUUUGCCAACAAAUGUCCAUCUAGUCAAGGCUAUGGUUUUUCCAGUGGUCAUGUAUGGAUGUGAGAGUUGGACUAUAAAGAAAGCUGAGCGCCGAAGAAUUGAUGCUUCUAAACUGUGGUGUUGGAGAAGACUCUUGAGAGUCCCUUGGACUGCAAGGAGAUCCAACCAGUCCAUUCUAAAGGAGAUCAGUCCUGGGUGUUCUUUGGAAGGACUGAUGCUAAAGCUGAAACUCCAGUACUUUGGCCACCUCAUGCGAAGAGUUGACUCAUUGGAAAAGACCCUGAUGCUGGGAGGGAUUGGGGGCAGGAGGAGAAGGGGACGACAGAGGAUGAGAUGGCUGGAUGGCAUCACUGACUCAAUGGACACGAGUUUGAGUAAAGUCCGGGAGUUUGUGAUGGACAGGGAGGCCUGGCAUGGUGCAGUCCAUGAGGUCGCAAAGAGUCGGACACGACUCAGUGACUGA
rnacentral:lncRNA from 1 species